CUCUCUCUCUCUCUCUCUCUCUCUCUUUUUCUUUCUUUGUUAUCAGAAAUUCGUCGGGUAUUCCUAGCGUAUUGGAAAUCGAGAGAACAGUUUUAGACGGUCUUUUAUCGAAGACACGUUCGAAUAAUUGUGAACGGAGAGGAUAUAUCUGAUUAGUGUUUUUAUUGGAUUAAAAAUAUUCUCAAGUCGACGAUCGAAAAGAUUCCAUCUGUGCUGAUUUAGUUUUAUUCGUAAGGAUAAAGGAUAGUUGGGAUUUUGAGUAAAUGGUAGAGCGAUCGAUUGGACAAAAAUUGACGAUAAAGAUCUUUCGAAAUAAUGGAGUAAAUAGUAGUAGUAGUGUGGUAAAAUCUAUAAAAAUCUAAGGUAACGCUGUGUAUAAUCAUAUAUCGUCUAGUUUAUAAAUACGAACAGUGGAAGCAGCGAAACGCCAGAACGUUCUUAUAUCUCAACGAUAGAUACAACGAUAUCGAUUUUGAGAGAUUAUUGGAUUAUUAUUUCUCUAUCAUCUUAGUUCAUCGUAGUU